UUGAACGCUGGCGGCAUGCCUUACACAUGCAAGUCGAACGGCAGCAUGAUCUAGCUUGCUAGAUUGAUGGCGAGUGGCGAACGGGUGAGUAAUACAUCGGAACGUGCCCUGUAGUGGGGGAUAACUAGUCGAAAGAUUAGCUAAUACCGCAUACGACCUGAGGGUGAAAGUGGGGGACCGCAAGGCCUCAUGCUAUAGGAGCGGCCGAUGUCUGAUUAGCUAGUUGGUGAGGUAAAGGCUCACCAAGGCGACGAUCAGUAGCUGGUCUGAGAGGACGAUCAGCCACACUGGAACUGAGACACGGCCCAGACUCCUACGGGAGGCAGCAGUGGGGAAUUUUGGACAAUGGGCGAAAGCCUGAUCCAGCAAUGCCGCGUGUGUGAAGAAGGCCUUCGGGUUGUAAAGCACUUUUGUCCGGAAAGAAAUGGCUCUGGUUAAUACCUGGGGUCGAUGACGGUACCGGAAGAAUAAGGACCGGCUAACUACGUG
rnacentral:rRNA from 1 species